rnacentral:rRNA from 1 species
AACGCGAAGAACCUUACCUACCCUUGACAUGCCAGGAAGCUUGCCGAGAGGUGAGUGUGCCCGAAAGGGAGCCUGGACACAGGUGCUGCAUGGCUGUCGUCAGCUCGUGUCGUGAGAUGUUGGGUUAAGUCCCGCAACGAGCGCAACCCUUGUCACUAGUUGCUACGCAAGGGCACUCUAGUGAGACUGCCGGUGACAAACCGGAGGAAGGUGGGGAUGACGUCAAGUCCUCAUGGCCCUUAUGGGUAGGGCUUCACACGUCAUACAAUGGCGCAUACAGAGGGCUGCCAACCCGCGAGGGGGAGCCAAUCCCAGAAAGUGCGUCGUAGUCCGGAUUGCAGUCUGCAACUCGACUGCAUGAAGUCGGAAUCGCUAGUAAUCGCGGAUCAGCAAUGUCGCGGUGAAUACGUUCCCGGGCCUUGUACACACCGCUCGUC